GUAAAAAUCAAAACUCAGGGAGUCAGUAAGUUUGGACUCCAUGAAACAUCUGUUGACUAAUCAGAGAAAGUAUUGCAGGCUCUACCUUCCAACUGUUCUUUAGAUUUACUAUUUGCAGUCAAUAAAAAGGAGAAUAUAUUUUUUCACAUUCUGAGAGAGAGUUCAGUAUUUACCAUGUUGCUUUUUGCAAUCUAAACAGAUAAACCAAAUUAAUCUGCUCUGACUAUACACUGAAAAUUUAUUAUUAACUGUUUAUUCUCUAGAGCUGAGGCUUCCACAGUCUAUGAUGAAAUGGUAGCAUGAGGACAACUCAGUCAUUCCCGUGCAGAAAGGAUUCUUCGGCCUUUUUCAUUAUGUGACCCAGAUGCAUCCAAACUGAAACAGAGAUUUGAGGUGCUCCACAUGUUCCCCAGAGCAUAUCUCUUCUGUGUGCAUCCAAUCCCACAGGGCUGGAUGGAGGGGCAACAGCACUACCACCCUCCCCGAAGUGCAGCAGCUCAGAGGGAGUUUUCAUUCUCAGGGUACUAAGAAAAAUGCAAAGCCUUUGCCUGCUCUCCAUAGGGUGAGCCGUGCAGCUCCAGCUGGCCGUGGCGCUGCGGCUGUGCUCUGCCUCCAGUCAGGCAGUGCUGGGAUGCAGGACCAUGUGCUGUCCCCACCUGUGGUUCUCCAGUUGCUGGCUAGCAGGGCAGAGGCCUGGGUUUCUGCAGCUGGCUGCCUGUCUGUGAAUCAGGUUUUGCUCUGCAGCUGGCUGCAGAACAGAGCAGGCUCUGGAGACUCCAGCACUGAGGCUUGUGUCCACCAGGCUGUGCAGAGGAUUAGAUCUGAAGGUGCCCUUUGCUUUGACACUAGGGUGGUA